CGGGGAGUAGUAUAGAGGUAGUACGCGGCCUUCGGGAGGCUGUAGCCCGAGUUCAAUUCUCGGCUCCCCGACCA
rnacentral:tRNA from 1 species